AAUCCGUAGUGUGGGCACUAAUGGAGUAUAUUCUUGUAUCGCUCCCAAGCUUCAAAAACAUUCAACUUCCAACUGUUGGAAUGUGAUAAUCUCAUCCCUCAGUUU
rnacentral:snoRNA from 1 species